rnacentral:rRNA from 1 species
GGCUCAGAUUGAACGCUGGCGGCAUGCCUUACACAUGCAAGUCGAACGGCAGCACGGGGCAACCUGGUGGCGAGUGGCGAACGGGUGAGUAAUGCAUCGGAACGUGCCAUUGAGUGGGGGAUAACGUAGCGAAAGUUGCGCUAAUACCGCAUAUUCUGUGAGCAGGAAAGCAGGGGACCGCAAGGCCUUGCGCUCUUUGAGCGGCCGAUGUCAGAUUAGCUAGUUGGUGAGGUAACGGCUUACCAAGGCGACGAUCUGUAGCGGGUCUGAGAGGAUGAUCCGCCACACUGGAACAGAGACACGGUCCAGACUCCUACGGGAGGCAGCAGUGGGGAAUUUUGGACAAUGGGCGCAAGCCUGAUCCAGCCAUGCCGCGUGAGUGAAGAAGGCCUUCGGGUUGUAAAGCUCUUUCGGCCGGGAAGAAAUCGCAUGGGUUAAUACCCUGUGUGGAUGACGGUACCGGAAUAAGAAGCACCGGCUAACUACGUG